UACGGAGGGUGCAAGCGUUAUCCGGAUUCACUGGGUUUACAGGGUGCGUAGGAGGGUAGGUAAGUCAGUGGUGAAAUCUUCGAGCUUAACUCGGAAACUGCCGUUGAUACUAUCUAUCUUGAAUACCGUGGAGGUGAGCGGAAUAUGUCAUGUAGCGGUGAAAUGCUUAGAUAUGACAUAGAACACCAAUUGCGAAGGCAGCUCGCUACACGAAUAUUGACUCUGAGGCACGAAAGCGUGGGGAUCAAACAGG
rnacentral:rRNA from 1 species